GUACAACACGUUGAUCACGAAGCUGUUCAAUAAUCAUAUCACAGACUGUAGUCUUCCCAGAUGCUGCACCGCCAGCAACUCCUUAUUCACAGACAGCAUAUGAAGGUGAUCAACAUGAAGCACUUAUAAAUUUAUUAAAAGAGAAUAACUAGACAUGCAUAAUAUAUUUUUUUCUAAAGGAUUCAGAAAUAAAGAAAUCAGAGCCUAUAAUUGCAAUUUAACUCCAGCAAACCGGAAUGAGAACAACCUUUAGAAAGUUUUAUCAUAUUUUUCCCAAGAGUAGCCUCAUGAGAUUUCCAAAAACUGUAAACAGCGAAAGCAUAAAUCAGUAGUUCUAGGUCAUACAUCACAUGCAGUUUACUACCAUGUCAAAAACAGUGCAGCCAGAUCAGUGGUNUGCACAACUAGUAAAGCCCCUAUCAUGCACACAAAACAAGCCCAUGAAGUAAGAAAAAAGUUGCAUCCCUUUUCCUAGUCCCGAUGCAUGCAGUCCAAUGAUUAUUUUAAACAUCCAUAUAGACUGUAGUCACUAUUACGUCUAUAGACCUUGACACGUGACUAAUUAUCAUUUAAAUCCUAGUAACUUUUCUUUAAGUGAAGCAAAUUUCACAUUUAUCAUGCAAAUACUUGAGCUUUCAAAAUACACAAUUUACAUGACAGCUAGUAUCUUCUUCUCCAAAUAUUAUGAAAUUCGACAAACUUGCAUCAACACUAAAACAUAAUGCUCAAAAUUGAUUCAUGAACACAAGAAUAAACAAGAUUUUGAAAGCCUAAUAUUUGGCUAUUACUGGACGAAGUUAAGAUGCUUGCACUACCUAUGACAAAGGGCUGCUUGAUAUUUUCGGUGGUAGAGGUGGUUGGUUGUUCAAUUAUUGAAGUACUUGGAUCUGUUGUUUUUAAAUGAAACCCAGAAAAAUGGACCCCUGAUGAAGCCUCUAUCAAAUCUUCAACUGCUUUUUUUGAACCCAUGUUAAGCGUUCACUGCAAAAUCAAAGAAGAAAGACUAAUCAAAUGAAUAAUCUUUAAAUGGAAAAAUAUCAAAGACAGACCUAUAUCAUCAGGCAAACACUAAGAAACAAAAUACAGAGAAUAAAUGGAAAUUUUUUAAAUGAAAAAGCUUCGUUUAUACCCUUACAAAAUAAGGUUCUCCUGUGUGUAUUCAUGAAAUAAAACAUCCACGGAAUAGAUCACAUAGCAUCAUAAAAAANAAAGGGCAUCCAUAAGCUGGUGGACUGAUGUUGCGUCUCACAAUCAUACAGAUAGCGACAAUAUUUCUAAAGUAGGAAAGGUAUCAAACAAAGCAAAUAGGGAAGAAAUGUCAUCAUCAGUUACCCCUGAAAUAUCUUGAGAAGCUCCCAUUUUUUACGAGAGCUCAAUCAAAAUCAAAGUAGCUUCGCCAUUUUUCCAACAACCAAUAGCAAAUUGCAAUAGAAGCAACAGAUCAAAAGAUAUCAAUUUUCCACUACCAAUAAUGAAUCUCAAUUCAAUACCCUUUCGGAUCACCCACUGAAAUUAAUAAGCACCUCAAAAUAAUUAAAUAAAAAUAGAAAAAAGUUAUUGCCAAUAUAUUCAAGUAAUAUUUGUGUAUUAGCACUACGCCUCCCCCUAGUUAUAUCCGAAUGUCGAAUUUAAGGCGUAUAAUAAUCGCCUUCAGCCGUGGCUGCCAUUUGCUUCUAACUUAAAUUGAAAACAGGCGCUCAAAAAAUUAUCGAAUACACAAGAUCGAACCACGACGUAAGUUCUCAAAUCCCUACCAAAUGCAAGAAGCUUCCUGAAACAUUGAUCUCAGCUGACAAACACGACGAAGUGCAAUUUUAAAAGAAUUGAUUUUUUAUUCUUUUUCCGGACAAACAAACCAAUUAAGCUAUUUGUAAAUAAAGAUUGAUCAAUGCAGCUGUGAAGCAUACCUGAAAGUAUAAUCUAAGAUGCCAGAAUUUCAAUGAAAGGCGCUCCAAUAUUUCCCGGCGUGAUUUGUACGAUUUCAAACAGUAAGAGGGAUAGAGAGAGUGGGAGCAAGCGAGAAUGAAUAUAGAGAGUAAUUGUAGCUGGCGUGCGGGAUGGUGGCAGUAUGAAUUUAUAGGGAAAUACGAGUUUCGAGGUUUGCCAUGAACAGGGCUUGAUAUAUUGGGAAAUUACGCAGGGACCCCUCGACGAUCUAAUAAGUGAUUACAUCUAGGCGACCACGCGUUGCGCUGGGCAGUAGGAGCGGUGAAAGAGAGGAUCGAUGAGCGAUCGAAGUUUUCACCGCGGCGGUGGCGGGUGGUGGGCCCCAUUCUUGUCGAGGUGGGGCGAUCAUCAGCGGUUGGCUGUGGGUGAGCCUGCAGUAAUUUCUUGUGGUUUGCUUUGGCGGAUCGUAAUCCGUUGGUGGCGCAGACGUGUCCCGGGUCCCACCCCGAUUCUUUCAGAUGCAGCUGCAGGGCCCACAUAACUCACUAAUUUCCUAUCAUUUUCUCGCAAUUUAUUAUUUUUAAAUACAAUCAAUUUCAGUGAAUGCACUCAAUUUAUUAUUUUAAUUUUUUUUAAAACGUCCCAAUAAUACUCGGCAUAUUAAUUUACAUCCCUUGAAGAUCGAAAAAUUAAGGCCAAUUCAAUGAUAACAGCAUUAUUAGUUGUUCUGCAGUCCUGAUUUUCCAAAAUUCGAACCUAUCUUAAUGAUUAUCACAUUCCGAUAAAGAAAAAGAUUAUCAUGAAAAUACGAUAAAUGAAAAAAUUACAACUCUAUUAUAAGUCUAAAAGAGUCAUAUUCAUACAAGAAUUCUUAGUAUUUUGCCUAUAAAUAUGGACAUAUAUUCAUUAUUCACAUAACAACUGUGUAAUUGUAAACUCUCACCACAAAUAGUGAAUUGUUGUGCCGACCGACAGGAUGUAGAUCUUUACGAUCGAACCACGUAAAUCCUUGCAUUCGCGUUCUUUUAGAGCAUCCACAAUGCUUGGUGCUUAGAGGGGUGUCUUAGGAGUGGGCCCCACCUAAGACACACCCCUCUCCAAUGCAUUGUGUCUUAGGUGGGUGCUUAGAUCCCCAUUUCCACAAAAUUCAUAUUUCUACACUUUUAUUUUUAAAAUUCAAAUUUCAUUAAAAUUAAAAUUCUACAUUACAAUAAUUUAAAUAAAAAUUAAAGACACAAUUAAAAUACGAUAAUAAAAUUAAAUUACGAUAAUUUCCUAGGACUCAAUCGGACAAAAACGAGACCAACCCACCCUCUUCGUCUUCGAUGAUCAUGUUGUGUAAAAUAAUGCACGUGAAAAGCUAAAAUAAAAUAUAAAAUUUAAAAAUUAAAAAUAUUACAACAAUUAAAAAUUAGGUGAAAAUUUAAAAAAUAAAAUAAAAAAUUNACAUCCCUCUUCUUCCCCAACCCACCUUUUUUUUCCAUCUUUUUUCCCCAUUGUUGCACUGCUUCCUUUUCUUUCUUCUUCCUUUUUCGCCCUUCAUUUAUUUAUUUUUUUAUUAAAUCGGCGCGUGUAGCGCACGAUUUCGCCAAAAUCCGCCAACGACCCGCGUCUUGCCUUCGACGCCGCCUCGCAUCACGCCGCGUCUCCAGUGCGGCACACCCCUCUUCGCCCCGCGUCGACCCAGCGCUCGACACGAGCGCUAGGGAUGCUCUUAGCUUUCUGUUAGAGGCGAUAUUUUUGGACGCAACCAUAUACUAGCGUGUAAACCGUCGAAACCGACGAAGAAUCAAUUUACAUCGUUAUUUAUAUUUGUUUAUAUUUUUUUAUAAUUAUAUCAUAUGAAAUAAUGUGUAUAUAACUUAUUUUUCUAAUUAAUUUAAUUUGAUCAAAUCAAAAUAAUUGUAUAAUAUAAAAAGUGAUAUUAAUCUCAAUCGUUUACAUUAAUUAAAUAUUUCUUUUUUAUAAUAGAAACUAGUACAUUCGCUCGUGCGAUGCACGAUGAGCAUCGAAAUUAAGCGAUAUGCUUAAAUAAAUAUAUAUAAAUAUUAUCAAAAUAUAAGCAAAUGCAAAAUGUAUUUUAAAAUAAAAUAAAAUACUAAUAUGCAUCGAUUACUCAAUAAAUCCUGGAUUUUAAAACAUAAAAAAAUGAUCAUUUUUUUUAUUAUUAUAUACUUCCUCCGUCCACGAUAUUGUUUCCACUUUGUGGACGGCACUAGUUUUAACAAAGUGGUUGAUAGUAGUGACUAUUAUUGUGAGUGGAGUUUGAGUCUCACUAUUAUUGUGAGUGGAAUUUAUGGACCCUACUACUAUAAAUGAAAGUGAAAAUAAUAUUGUGGACGGACCAAAAUGACAAAAGUGAAAACGGUAUCGUGGAUGGAGGGAGUAUAAGAUAGAUUCAAAAUCUAUACGCAUUUUUAUAGUUUAAUUUUAUAGAAUAAUCACCAUCAUGAUUUACUUUAUGUAAAUUAAUAUACUAUGUAUAUUUUAAAUUUUAGUACACUUAUAAUUGAUAGAAUACGCUUACAAAAAUUGAUUUUCUUUAAAAGAUGAUCAAUAAUGAUAUUCCAUUUCCCCCCUCUAGAUGACUCGAGCCACCAAUCUAUUGGUUGGAGGAAAUCGCCUUACCAACUAAGAUGUGCUUCAUUGUCUUAUUUGAUGUAUUAUUGAUGUGUAAUUUGAAAUCUGGUUAAAAUAUUACUAACUUUAUUAUUCAAUUUAGAUUUUUAAUUUGUAAAGCUUUAUUAAAAAAUGAUUUAGGACUCAAAAUUUGUUUAAUAAAAAAUUUCAUGAAAAAUAUACUUUUAUUUAGGUUAUGAAUUGAAAUAGUGUCAUAUAAAAUCAAUAUGCACAUUUUAUUUUUAUAAAUCCUCUUUUAUAUAGAUUUUACAUUUGCUAGAAUAUCGUAAAGUUGAAUGUUGAAUUAUAGAAAUAAUAAAAUAUAAAUAACAUAAGAAAAUUAUAAUGUAAUAAUUCAUUAUUUUAAUGUACGAAUUCACAUUAUUCAAUAAAUUUAAUUAUUGGCCAAAGUAAUAUUAUAUAAAUUAAAUUAUUUUUUAAUAAAAAUACAAUUAUUUAUUUGGCCAACUAAAGUUCAAUUGACCAAAUUAAAUUGGUGCUGCAAAGAUAUAGGAUGAGAUAUUACACACAAGUAUUAUAUAGACUUUAAUCAAAAAUGGACUUUGAUUAAAAAUUAUUAUGGAAUAUGAAAUGUGACUUGUGAAAAAAAUGAGAAUAAAGGAGAAUAGAGAAAUUUCAAAAUGCUUGAAUUGUAAAAUGCGAGAUAAAGAUGUUAUUAUUUUCAAAAGUAUAAGAUAAAUUCAACACUCAUUCUUAAAUAUAGAUAGAAAAAAAUGAUCAAAUAAGAACUAUUCUAUUUUUUGUUUAAAGAAAAAGAACUAUUCUAUUUUAAUUUCCUAACUAGAACCACUUCUCAAAAAAAAAAAAAAACUAGAACCAAUUUACUUCAUUGAUUUUAUUGACGGAUGAUAAAUAAUGAUUUUCAAAUUAAAUUAUGUUUUUCAUGCAUAAAAUAAUAUUUUCUCUAUUAUUAUAUACUCAUAAAAUAAUACUUUUUCUUUGCUUAAUUUCUACGCAUAAAAUAAUACUUUUUACAUUUACAAUAACAACCUUCAAUGAAAGAAAGCGAAAUAGUAUUAGAUCGAUGAGAUUAAUGCUUAUCACGAAAAUAUUCAAAAGUAUUUAUUUGUCAAGUAAUGUUACUUAUAUUUUUAGUUCUAGGUUUUAACUAAAAAAAAGAAUCAAACUUGGAAAUUGAAAGAAAGAGUGUCCAACACAUGAGGAUAAAUAUUAAUUUAUAAUUAUUUUAUAUUAUUUUCAUUACGUCAUAACUUAUAAUUAUUUUAUAUUAUUUUUAUAAUCACAGUAUAUGAAAUAGUUAGUAUAUAAAUUAAUUUAAUUUUCUCAAAUUAAAUUAGUGGUGCAUUUCAAAUUAUAGUAAUCUCACCCACUUUUGAUAAUUAAAUAUUAAUUUUGUUUGGAUAUAAAAAUACCUUGUUAUAUCAAUUUUCAUUUGAUGGAGUUUUAUAAAAAAAAAAUGUUGAAAUUGUAGAUGUUAAAAAAAUAACAAGAAGAAAAUAUGUAAAUUUGACAUGAGAUAUGAUGGAGGAUUGAUGUGUCGCAUUUGUUGUUAAUCAUAUCAUCUAUAGUUUGUGAAAUUAAAAUUGAUUGUUUAGCAUAAUCUGGUCUGGAGCUUGAAUGAUUGUAAUUGACUUUUGAGCAUCAUUUUAUUUAGAGCUUGAAAGGUCGGAACUCAAUUCUAAGCAUCAUAUGAGAUUGAAUACAUAUCUAGCUUGUAAGACAUCAUCUUGCCUGUAGUUUGUAAAGAUUAUAACUGACUUUUGAGCAUUAUCUCAUUUCAAGCUUAAUAGACCAUUUAUGACUUAUGAACAUUAUUUUGUCUAGAACUUGAAAUAUCAUAAUUGAGUUAUGAGUAUAAUCACUUUUAGAGAUUGAGAUAGCAUCAUGAAAAGUAAAAUUAUUAUAUAAUAUGAUUAGUGAUUCCUAAUCUCUCUUUAAUUCAUUGGCGGCUUCAUCAAAUUAUUUUAUUUACAUUUAUCAAUAAUUCUAGAGAUCUUGGCUUUAAUAAUAUACAUCUAGAUGGCUCAUACAAGGGUUCGAACCUUGUCUCAUACAAAAAAUAUACAUCUAGAUGGCUUCAUUAUACAUCUAUGUGGCUUUAUUCAUAUCAAAUUAUCUCCCUCUCUCACUCACCGAUUGGGAUGGCAAUGGGCCGGAUCUGGACCGGAUCCUGCUUGGUCCAGAUCCAGAUCCGGAUUUUUCGACUUAGGCCCAGAUCCGGUCCAGAUCCAAUGGAUCCAAAAAAAUGAGAUCCAGGUCCAGAUCCAUAAGAUCCACAGGGUCUCGGGUCCAGACCCGGAUCCAUACUUUUUGUCUUCUAAAUUAAAUUUAUAAAUCUUAAAUUAAUCCCAAAUAAAAUUAUAAUUAUUGUCUAGAUUUUCAACAAUUAUUCAAAAUAAAUGAAUUAACCAUAUUCUAUAAAAAUAUUAUCGAAGUUUAAUAACAAUAAAAAUAUAAUAAUCAAGUAAUAACAGGGAACAAUGUGUCCUCUAUUUACUAUAGAAAAAGAAAAUUAAUAGUUAAUAAUAAUAAUAAUAAUAAUAAUAAUAAUAAUAAUAAUAAUAAUAAUAAUAAUAAUGAAAACUAAAAUUUAAAUUAAAAUAAAGUAAAAUAUUAUCUUUAAUUGCAUUAUCUAUGAUUUAUGAAAAGAGAUAUAUAGAUUAGUCAUAGAUAUUAGAUUAGAGUUAGAUAAAAAUAAAUAACAUUAUAUAUAUUUUAAUAUAUAUAAAUGGAUCCAUGGACCAGAUCUAGACCGGAUCUGGGUCUCAGAUUUUUUGCUCCAGAUCCAGAUCCGAAAAUUAUAGGAAUAACCUAGAUCCGGUCCAGAUCCAUUGGGUCCAUUUUUCCUAAGAUCCAGAUGCCUUCAUUAUACAUCUAUGUGGCUUUAUUCAUACCAAAUUAUCUCCCUCUCUCACUCACCGAUCAUCAUUUAUAUAUGUGUUUAACUUAUAUUUAAUUGUCUACAUCGAAACUAAGGUUGGAAAAAUUGAGUGACUGAAAGUAUACUUCAAACUAUAUAUAGUAGAAAAUUUAGAUUUUCAUACCGGUUAGUGACUCCUUAUCGUGACCAGUAUAAGUAUUUCCGGAGAUUUGUCAAGCAUUAAUGUUUGAAUCCUCAACCUGGCAAAUGUAUCACUUAGUUCUUCAACUUAGGAUGUACUCCUAACUUAGGAGUAUUAUCUAAUGACUAGUGCGCAACCCGUCGAAAUUCGACGGGAAAUUAUUUGAACUUGUUAUAUAAAUUAUUUUUAAAUUUAUUUAAUUUAAAGUAAUAUAGUUGAAAUUAUAUUAAUUUGAAUCAUAUUCGUCAAUUAAAUGUUAACCUAGAAUAAUAAAUAUUCUUUUUAUGUAGAUUUUUAUUUAAUAAUAUUUUGAAAAAUGUAUCGAUAUUGAAAAUUUUAUUUCAUCUGAGCAUCAUCUUGUCUAAACCUUGUAGGAUCAUAUCAUAAUCUAAAUUUUGAAACACGACAACUAACGUUUGAACAUCAGACUUUUGAGUAUCAUCUCGUCUAGACCUUAAAAUACAAAAAAUGAACUUUUAUGCGUCAAGUUUUUUUAACAUCACUAUCUGAAGCUUUAAAAAUCAAAGUUGACUUGUGAGAUUGUAUGAUUUGGAGCUUCUAGCAUCAUAACUAACUUGUAAACAUCAUUUUGUAUGGAACUUGAAAAAAUCUUUGACAAACUUUUAUGCAUUAUUAAUUCUAAAUAUUAUAAUUGGAUUAUGGUGCGUCGUUUUACACCAAAAAUAUCCGGCAGUCAGCCGGUAUGCCCACACUGCGCAGACAACAGUAAGCAAAAUCGUCUCCCAAGGGAUCGGCGAGAAUUCUCCUAAAAUUCAACCUGCAAAGUAACUCAACAAACGAGAUUUAUGGAAAAAUAUUGAGAAAAUACUAAAAUAGAAAUAAAUAAAUAAAACCUAUAAGAAUUGCAAAGGUUCUAAUCCUAAAUAAAUAAAUAGAAAAUUCCAACAAUUAAUAAAAGAUUCCAGCAAUCAAUUAAGUCCACCCUAGCUUAAUUAUUCUGAUCAUUGAUGCAAAUAUAACUUUAAUUCAUGCAAGCAAACCAGUUAUAACCACCGAAGACGCUUCUGACGUGAUCUUAUUUCUCCUUAAUUAUUCGGUAACCAGGAAGACGCUUCACUAAUUACUACCCUAAUCGACUGACAACCGUAAGAGACGCUCUAUAGAUUUAAUGAGUCGACAACAUUAAUUUCUAGAGAAACCCGAUUCAAAACCAAUAAACUCUGACGCAGGAUUAUUGAAUUAAGACUGCUUUUCCCUUGACCCUGAUGUGUCAAUUUACCACUAAUCAAACCUAAACCACGAUUACGUAUGGCCGGUUCAAUUGGCUGUAUAAUUAAUUCUAACCCACUAAAUAUUGCGCACUACCUAAUGGAUUAAAACAAUUAAUAACGAUAAACACGGAGAAUCACAGAUACAAGCAUAAAAUAAAGUAUAAGAACAAAUUAGAUCUCACAGAAUAAUUUUGCUAGUGCUUCCCUAAUCGUUGCUGGAAUAAAAGAAAUUAGCUAGAACGCAUAAAUAAAAUAAAUCAAACAAAAUAAAUAAUUAAUUGCAAAGGAAAGAUGAAGGAAUAAAACUUGAAAUUGAAAAGCUCUAAAAAUUCACGUCCAGACUUCUACUCCCAAAGUUGGCGUCUGAUAUGUGUUAUUUUUUCAAAUGUGCGCUGACUCCUAAUAUAUAUAUAUAACUAAGGAAAAUAAAACAAACUAACCUAAUCUAAUACUAAUAGGAAAAGUGGCGUGAAUAUGGCCCUAACUAAUAAAACCAAAACCUAAAUAACUAAAGAAAUAAAAGUGGCGCAUGGCCCACUUAUUAAAAAAUAAACUAAGGCCUAAUCUACUAAUUAAAAGAAAAAUGGCGCAAGGCCCUGGGCAAAAGGGAAUCGAAUUCAACCCACAACAAAAAUCAAAAUGCAGUCCAUAAGUUCUCUACUUUCGCCACACCAACAACUCAAUUCAGUUUGAAUUUCAGCUUGUAUUCUUCACAGCUCCGAGCUUCAAAAUUCUUCACAAAAUCAUGUCUUUUCUCCAACAUCUAUCAAAUAUCAUCAAAAUUCAUAUAAGACCAUAAUUCAUAUCCAAAAAAUGAUAUUUAACAUGAAUUAAGCACAUAAAUCAUAUCAAAAUCCCCCAAAUAAAUGCGUAUAAAUACGCCUAAUCAGAUUCCAAGAAUCAUCUCGUUUGGAGUUUAAAAAAAAUCAAUUUAACUUGUGAGUAUCAUCUCAUUUGAACUUUGAAUGACCACAAUUAAGUUACAAGAAUUAUCUUGUGUGUAGCUUUAAAGUUCAUUAUCAUCUUUAGCUUGUAAGAUCAUAAAUUCGUAAAUAACUUCUAAACAUCAUCUUGUAUGCACCUUGAAAAAUCUUGACAAUUUUUUGUGCAUUUUUUCAUGUGGAGCUUGAAAUAUCAUAAUUGAGUUUCGAGCAUCAUUUCGUUUGAAAUUUGAAAGAAUAAAAUGGACUCGUGAAUAUUAAUUAUCUUCAAAUCUUGAGUUUCGAGCAUCAUUCCGUCUGAAAAUUGAAAGAAUAAAAUUGACUCGUGAACAUUAUCUCAUAUGAAGUUUGAAAAACCAUAACUAAGUUUUGAAAAUCAUCUCAUGUGAAGCUUAAGAAACUUGACACGAGAUUCAAAUUGUAUUAAUUUAUUUAGUAAUUUAAUUGAUAAAUUUUCAAAAAUCAAUGUGAAUCCAAUUUUAUUUUUAAAAAUAAAUACAAAAUAUAUUAUUUUAUAACCAAAUGAAAUUGAAGAAAUAAUUUACUUAAUAAAACCAAUUUAUUUUAAAAAUUAAAUUAAUUAAACCAUGUAUAUAAAUAAAUAAAUUUGGUCAAAUUAAAUUGACAAAACAAUUCAAAUUCUAUUAAUCUCAAUCACACCGCCAAUUAAAUGUAAAUUUUAAUUUGGAGAGCAAGAACUUAUUCGUGUAUAAGAUUUAUUUUGGUGAAAUCUUAUAAAAAAAAUCAAUGCGAAAUGAGGUAAUUUAUAUGAAUUCUUCACCCGAUUGAGAUUAUUAUAAAUUUGAUACAUGAUUAAAGAGUUCAAAUAUAUUUUAACAUCAUAUCAUCUAUUGUUCUUUAUCUAAAUUCUUCAUUUAUGCAUUACUAAUUUCAUAAUUUAUUAUUAUUAUUAUUAUUAUUAUUAUUAUUAUUAUUAUUAUUAUUAUUAUUAUUAUUAUUAAGAAAAUGAAAACAAAUAAAAAAUUUUUAGAUAUGAAAAAAUAUAUUUUUUCUUCCAUAUACAAAGAAAAAUGUAUGAAUAUAUUUUAUAAAAAAUAAAAAUAAAAUUUAAUUAUUUUGAUAGACAUAAAAUAAAAAUUUUGAUUUUGUAUAGACAAUUAAAUUUCGUCGAAUUAAAUCGUGCCACGUGUAAAUUCAUGAAUUAAAUAUUCAAUUAUAUUUUCUAUUUUAUUAAAUGGGAUUUUAUUCCUAAUUAAAUAGAUAUAUAUAUAUGAUUAAUAUUUAAUAAAAUGAAUUAAUGGGCUUAUGGACACCUAAAGCCCUAAGGCCCAUGCAUGAAGGCCCAAAACCCAUAAAGCCCACGAAGCCCAUCUCUAAAAAUCUAUAAAUAGAGGUGUUGGGGUGCUCAUUAUCAACAACUUGAAGGAGUGGAAGAUCGAAGAGCACAAAGAAUUCUCUCUAGUAUCACAAGUAGAAGAGGCGGAGAAUUGGAGAGUUCAAGUAUUCUUCCAAGUAUUCAAGUAUCUUGAAGAAUUCUAUCUAACGUUCAAGUCUCCUUCAAAUCUUCAAUCGUUUGAUUAUUCAAAUCUUCAAGUAUCCUUCGAAUCUUCAAGUAUUUGAGCAUUCAAAUCUUCAAGUAUCCUUCAAAAUCUUCAAGUAUUCAAGGAUCUUCAAAUCUUCGAGUAUUUCUUCAAAUGUUCAAGUAUUCCUGCGAAUCUUUGAAGUGAUCUUCAAGUAUCCAAAGAAAUCAAGUUCAAAAGCUUCAAGGCAUUCUUACAAAUUCUAAGGACGUUCUUCUUCAAAUCAAAUCAAAUCAAGUUCAAAAGCUUCAAGGCGUUCUUAUAAAUUCUAAGGACGUUCUUCUUCAAAUCAAAUCAAGUUCAAUGUUCAAUCCAAAAUCAUGACUUGAGUCCCUUGGAUUUAUCGUCAUCAAAUCAAGUAUUUCAAGAACCUUCGAGCUUGUUCAAGAAUCAUAACUAGAGAUUACAACCCGCAUAAAUCUAUCUUCAAAUCUAUCAAAUUAUCUUUGUAACGCGUUUUGUAUUUUAUUAAAUUGAAAUACAAAAAUUUGUGUUUACAAACUUACUCUUGUAAGUUGUAACAGAGUCCUAAUUAAAAACCCAAGAUAGAGAUCAUAGAAAGAUUAGAAAAGGGGAAUGGUUGUUUAUAAUGAGAGGUAGCCGAUUAUAAGAGAGGGCAGCAGAGGUGACACGCCACGACGAAAUAAUUUAGACCUUGAAAUCCUAGGAAACUAUAUCAUAGAAACAAUAUGGGAUAUUUCAAUCUAAACCAAGCAGCAAGCAUUGGAGCAACGAAAGCACAUAUAAAUGUUACAGAACUUAUUCAAUACCUGAACAACUUAUUCAAUACAUGAACUCACUAUAACAGCCAAGAUAUAAAAAAAUUAAUCAGAUGGCAUAUAAAUUAAACCAAAAUAUAAAACAAAACUAGGCCAUUCAAUCUCAGUAUUGGAGUUUAUCUACUAGCAGCCACAUUUAUAAAAAAUUGUAAUCAGAAUCUUUGGCUAAAAACAUUCAAAACUGCAUAUCAGCAUGAGUAAAUUAAAAUGAGUUUGAAUGUUGCUCUUCUUCCGACUCUCACCAACCAAAUUAUUGUUGAAUGGUAAUUUUGCAAAGGAAAUCCACCAAUCAAUAAAAUCCAAAGAAAGUAGUAAUACAUUCUAAUACAAGAAUAUGUAUACUGGCGAAUUUUCCAGAAUAACCGAGUACCUUCAGUUGCUAAAACAGAAUACUUCAUCUGACGUUCUAAGGAUCUGUAGAGUAUAGUUUUACUUGAAAACACCACGCACCCAUUCAUCUCACAGCUCACAACUCACAUAUAUAUCAAUCGUCAUACUAAUAAAAUUAUGCAAAUAUAUAAAUGUUAUAGCUACAUAUUCUGUUGGACGUACCCAAUUUUUGCCGCUCCGAUAGAAGAGAUUUUUUCAACAACUCAAAGGCAACAUUCUGCAGAAAAAAUAAUAGUCAGAAAACGUGGAAGAGGCAGCAAUCCAUAUCAAUUUUAUUGAUUUCAAAGUCAGAAUUUAAUGAGAUUCGCUUCAAGAUUGAAUCUUUGCACUUCAAAAAUGCCUAUAAAUCUACAACUAACAUUUACCCAAACAUAAGUCCUAUGAACCGAAAACAUUCAUCCAUAUUCCACAAUCAGUAGAAAAAAUCUAGGCCAAUACUAAAUCUGAAGUCUCAAUCUCGAACCACAGGAUGCCAAGAAACCAUCAAUGAAUCCUAAAAUUGAGCACACUGGCAAUAUUUCUUCACAUAUUACACACAAUACAGCAGCAUCGAGAAAAAUUGGAACAAAAAUGAAAGAAAUAGGAAGCGGUAAAAUCAGAAUUCACAAGAGAACACCUGGUAAGGCAAUCGCCAAGCUUCAGAUUUAGAAAAACACAUGUCAUCCAGAGCAUCGCUCCGGCUUCAGUUCUCACUUGGUGUUCUGGCUGCAUUCGGAUCUGGACUCCAUUUCACCGUAGUCACGUUUCGGGUUGACCCGAUUAGGGUUCCUACUUUUGGCGUCGGAGGCUCUGCUGUUCAACCAGGGAUAGGAGGUCCCGGCGAAGGCGUCGCUGCCGGAAAUUGAAGCUAGGGCGCGACGGCGGUGGCCUUCCCGCCGUGCGGUCGACAGGAAUCGACGGGGAGAUGGCUGUAGAUUAUAGAUCUAGGAUUUUCAGGCGCGGUGUGGUGUGCGUGCGUGCUCUAUGGUUGAGUCAGAGAGAGAGGGGAUUGAGAGGGAGACGAGGGAAAUGCGACGAGCUUGGUGGCUAUCGUUGUUGCGGCCGCAGAGGACAGAGGGAAGACGUGCUUCUAUGGCCGGAGUUGAGAGAGAGAGAAAGCUGGGGAGAUGAAGGACGAGAGAGAGAGAGUAGGGGGUAAAGGGAGGGAUUUAGGGUUUUAUUUUUAUAAUAUUAUUAAAUUUAAAAAUAAAUAUAAUACAUAACAGUUUUGAGACGUUCAUAUAUAACGGUUAAAACAACCGUUAUAAAAAGACGCUCAUACAUAACGGUUGGCUUAACGGUUUGGUAAUACCGUUAUGUAUGCAACUAAUAGAUAACGCU
rnacentral:lncRNA from 1 species